rnacentral:rRNA from 1 species
UACGAGGGGAGCAAGCGUUGUUCGGAUUUACUGGGCGUAAAGGGCGCGUAGGCGGUCGUGACAAGUCACUUGUGAAAUCUCCGGGCUUAACUCGGAACGGUCAAGUGAUACUGUCGGACUAGAGUACAGAAGGGGGCAACUGGAAUUCUCGGUGUAGCGGUGAAAUGCGUAGAUAUCGAGAGGAACACCUGCGGCGAAGGCGGGUUGCUGGGCUGAUACUGACGCUGAUGCGCGAAAGCCAGGGGAGCGAACGGG